GAGACUGCGGCCACCUCUGCCUGGGGGGAGUGUUAGUGCAGCCCUGCUGCUGAUGUGUGGGGAGAAUUCCCUCUCAGUUUUAGGAAAACUUCUGAAAAACAAAACUGACUGGUGCAAUUCAUAUUUCUUUCAGCAAACCUUAAUUAUCUCUCAUUUUCUUUCAGGCCCACUCUGUUCUCCAGGCUCGUUACAUGGGUUUCUGUCUCUCCGCAGCAUCCCCUUGAAUGGCAUCUACUGCACAUAACUUUUUCAGCCCACAAAGCUGAAACGCUUUCUGUGACUCAAAUGGCUCCAGCACAGCUAUUCCCUAGAAGACAUCCUCCCUGAUUUCUUGUGGUGCCUGUUAGAUUGCUGAAGUUGCAGACAGGGCUAUAAGACAUACCAUACUACAGCAAAUAUGGCUACUCGCUCCAUGCAGGGCUAUCGGAGAAAGUUUUGCACAGCUCUAGUGAAACAGGUGAACAACUGCAAGUUUGGAAAGCCUCCUAGCGUUCCCUGGACCUCAGAAGGCUCAGUGUAGGAUCCCUCGCCCAUCCUGAUUACCUCAAAGACAUGGAAAAAACACUGAGGUCUUAUUGCUCCUGUUGGAAACUUCUGCCGACUACAGCAAGAGUUGGACUGUGCCCAGAGAAACCAAAUACACACAAGCUGCAAUGAGUUGGCCAUACAAGCAAGGAAAAUCACAGAUAACAGAUGCACACAAAUUAGUAAUGUACCUUUUAGGUCAUCCAGUACAGCUUGCUGACACAUUGAGAUUGUCUCCUAUGGCAUAUUUUUGGUUGCUUUGGAUGCCUGGAUCAAAUGUCCUAAGUAAUAUCAUGUACUUAGGGAGAGAUUGUGCUGCCUAGUAUAUCCUGUUAGAAGUUUUUUUUUCCUUUCUUAACAUUAUCAUAUUUCUCCCAGUUACAUUUCUUUGCAAACCUCCUUAUUUCCUUUCUACAAUGCUAUUUUUCUCCAGUGUCUUUAGACGAAUGUGAUGUUCCAUUUAGUUAACAUUAAGUCAGUUCAUACCUAUUUAGAUCAUUUAAUCUUUUCUGAUAAAUCAGUCUUUUCUGUCGCCUGGUUAUUUUCUCAUCUCCUCUUGUCCCACUCCUGUCUGUCAGUAUCUUUUUUAGCUAUAAGUUUUAAAGAUGUGGUGCAUUUAUCUGAACUAACAGCAGGUCUGGCACAAACUUGAGCACUCUCAGUAUCUUCUCACUGAAAACCAUUCCUGAUGUGCCCAAGGGAAAUUCACUGGCAUUCUGAGCAGACAAGCAAGCAGAGCAUCCUGUUCAAACCAUUUCCUUGAUACCUGCUUUACUGAUCAGCAACAACCAAAAAGCAUUAAAACAUUUAGCCUAGUGAUUCAAAAACCAAAUAUGGGUCACUAUAGAUUAAUUAUUUUUUUUUCAUAAUGCUAGGAAACAUAAUGGCAGAGAGGAAAAUACAUUUGUUCUUGAUAUUUUCGAACUCUUGGUCGUGGACAUCACAAUCUAAAAUUAUGGAAGACGUUGUCUUGUCUAGUAACUAUAUUUGGGUGCCACUGGAGUACACUGUAGAAAGUAAUUAUAUAUGUAGUCACACGCCUAGCUUUUCACUUCAGGCAAUAAAUUCUGAUCAACAAACAACACUCCUUUAGUGCUAAAUGAAAUCUUGGCUGUAAUUGAAUGUCUUUACCUCUGUGUUCUGUUGGAUUGGAGGAAUAUCAUUUUAAUCUGCUCUCUUUAAAUUUUCAUUAAGGAGCGUUUGAGCUACCUGCAGCCUCAUCUGAUGAUGUUUAAUGAUAUCAGCUAGCGCAUUCUUCCGUGCACCAGCAGGGGCUUCUUUAAAUUGGUCAACUGUACAUUGAACUGAACAUUGUUUUCGUGUUUAAUGUACUUGGAAUCAACCUUUUAAAAUAAUGAUGUCUCUACAGACAGUUUAUAUACGUAGCGCACACACAUAUGUGCAUGUGUAUGUAUGCAUAUAUAUGCGUAAGUGCACACAUACAUAGAGAAACACUGAUCCUAUUCACCUUCUUGAAAACAUUUCAGCUAGUAUUAGCAUAAAUGUGCUGUUAAGUUGGCAGUGUUAUACAUUUUUGUUGGAGUUUACUUCUGUAACCUAAAAUCAGGCAGAUAAGCUGUGAAACUCAUGCAGCUGAUGACAUAAUGCUGGGAUAUCAUGAUGCUGAAUCUCAUAUUUCUAGGCAUAAAGGAUGGAUGUUCCUUUCUGGAAUUAUUAUGCCUCUUGUUGCAAUAUAUAUUUCUUGUUUUCGUGUGGGCACUGAGAUGUUCAAACCAUUAAAUGUAUAUGGUAUAAUGAGUCCUGUGUUCCUUAUUUAUUCUAAAGAAGGCAUUAACUUUCUAUGGUUGUUUUAUUGUGUAAUAAAGCCUACUACUCUAAGAAUCUGUGAUGAACAUAGCAAUAAGCUGUGACAAUAUGCAUAGUUACAUUUAAUGCCGAUGUCCAAAUGUACAUAUGUGCAUAUAAAGAAGCAUGUAUGUAUAUUCAAGCACUCAAAGAUAGACACACAAAUUAAAUACAAUCAAGGAUGUGGCAUAAGUAGAUUCAAAGCUUACCUGUUACGGCUUUGUAAAGGGGGAAAUCCGAGCCACAAAGACACACGUGAAAGUAAGGCUCAAUAUAAUCCAUUGGCUCGUUACCAUUAUGCUCAACAGUGACAGGCUGUAUGCUAAGAUGGGGUACCAGCAGACAUUCGCCAUGACAGCUGGUUCAAAACAGAGCUUUCAAAAUAGUGCAACACCCCUCACUUCCUUCCAAAUCCUGGUGUUUGCCAGCAGCACUUAGCUGAGGCUGGCUCUUAAGGUCAGAUGUUCAGAUAAAAGUUGCUUGAAAUGAAUCUGCUUCUUUGUGUUUGGACUGUAUAUAUGUUCAGCAUAGCAUCUAGGCUCUUUGUGAAUUUGUGUUUGAGUUCACACGUGAGUAGUGCUUGCCUAUUACCUGAAAAAAUGAUGGAUGUUUCUUCCCGACACCAUGCUCUAUUUGCCUGAGAUUGUCCUCUAUCAAAUUCUCCUUUCUUUUGUGGGUUACAUAAAACGAGAGCCAUACACAGGCU